UACAGAGGGGGCAAGCGUUGUUCGGAAUUACUGGGCGUAAAGGGCGCGUAGGCGGCCUGCUAAGUCGAACGUGAAAUCCCCCGGGCUCAACCCGGGAACUGCGUCCGAUACUGGCGGGCUAGAGUGCGGUAGAGGAGAGUGGAAUUCCCCGGUGUAGCAGUGAAAUGCGUAGAGAUCGGGAGGAACAUCAGUUGCGAAGGCGGCUCUCUGGACCAGCACUGACACUGAGGCACGAAAGCGUGGGGAGCAAACAGG
rnacentral:rRNA from 1 species